CACAUGCAAGUCGAACGGCAGCACGAGAGAGCUUGCUCUCUUGGUGGCGAGUGGAGCGACUAGGUGAGUAAUAUAUCGGAACGUGCCCAGUAGCGGGGGAUAACUACUCGAAAGAGUGGCUAAUACCGCAUACGCCCUACGGGGGAAAGGGGGGGAUUCUUCGGAACCUCUCACUAUUGGAGCGGCCGAUAUCGGAUUAGCUAGUUGGUGGGGUAAAGGCUCACCAAGGCAACGAUCCGUAGCUGGUUUGAGAGGACGACCAGCCACACUGGGACUGAGACACGGCCCAGACUCCUACGGGAGGCAGCAGUGGGGAAUUUUGGACAAUGGGGGAAACCCUGAUCCAGCCAUCCCGCGUGUAUGAUGAAGGCCUUCGGGUUGUAAAGUACUUUUGGCAGAGAAGAAAAGGUAUCUCCUAAUACUAUAUACUGCUGACGGUAUCUGCAGAAUAAGCACCGGCUAACUACGUGCCAGCAGCCGCGGUAAUACGUAGGGUGCAAGCGUUAAUCGGAAUUACUGGGCGUAAAGCGUGUGUAGGCGGUUCGGAAAGAAAGAUGUGAAAUCCCAGGGCUCAACCUUGGACUGCAUUUUUAACUGCCGAGCUAGAGUAUGUCAGAGGGGGGUAGAAUUCCACGUGUAGCAGUGAAAUGCGUAAUAUGUGGAGGAAUACCGAUGGCGAAGGCAGCCCCCUGGGAUAAUACUGACGCUCAACACGAAAGCGUGGGGAGCAACCAGGAUUAGAUACCCUGGUAGUCCACGCCCCUAAACGAAGUCACUAGCUGUUGGGGCCGUUAGGCCUA
rnacentral:rRNA from 2 species